GAUGAACGCUGGCGGCGUGCCUAAUACAUGCAAGUCGAGCGAACAGAUGAGGAGCUUGCUCCUCUGACGUUAGCGGCGGACGGGUGAGUAACACGUGGAUAACCUACCUAUAAGACUGGGAUAACUUCGGGAAACCGGAGCUAAUACCGGAUAAUAUAUUGAACCGCAUGGUUCAAUAGUGAAAGACGGUUUUGCUGUCACUUAUAGAUGGAUCCGCGCCGCAUUAGCUAGUUGGUAAGGUAACGGCUUACCAAGGCAACGAUGCGUGGCCGACCUGAGAGGGUGAUCGGCCACACUGGAACUGAGACACGGUCCAGACUCCUACGGGAGGCAGCAGUAGGGAAUCUUCCGCAAUGGGCGAAAGCCUGACGGAGCAACGCCGCGUGAGUGAUGAAGGUCUUCGGAUCGUAAAACUCUGUUAUUAGGGAAGAACAAAUGUGUAAGUAACCAUGCACGUCUUGACGGUACCUAAUCAGAAAGCCACGGCUAACUACGUG
rnacentral:rRNA from 1 species